rnacentral:rRNA from 1 species
UACGUAGGGUGCGAGCGUUGCCCGGAAUUAUUGGGCGUAAAGCGCGCGUAGGCGGCUACUUAAGUCGGAUGUGAAAGCCCUUGGCUCAACUGAGGAAGUGCACCCGAAACUGAGUGGCUUGAGUACCAAAGAGGGUCGCGGAAUUCCCGGUGUAGAGGUGAAAUUCGUAGAUAUCGGGAGGAACACCAGUAGCGAAGGCGACACUCUGGGCCGGUACUGACGCUGAGGAGCGAAAGCGUGGGGAGCAAACAGG